rfam:Ideonella sakaiensis DNA, contig: ISCTG012.
CGCUCACUGCCAUGUUCUGCUGACUUGCGUCAGCAACAUGCCCAGGUCGUCACGGUCUUCAAGACGACGACGCGGUUCCGACCGCGUUGAUCACCCCAGUUCGCACCGGCAUCCAUGCGCGAACGGCCAUCGGUUCUCGAUGGCGAUGC